AUGAAGGUGAUCAGCAAGUUGGAUCUUGCCCUCUGCUCCAAGUGUUGGAACACUUGCGCAAUGUGUUCAGGCGGAAGAAAGGGUAGUGCCAUCACCUGCCCCAGGAAGGAGAAUAUGUCCCCUCUCUCAUUUUUGGGUCCAGUGAAAAGCACAACCUUGAAUGAUGAAUCCAGGGAAACGAUCCUGGAUGGCCCUCUCACGUUGCUGCUUCGAAGUCGACCACAAAACUCUGCAGACAGAUUUGCUCUGGAAUCAGAUGGUCAAUCUGGAGAAGUUUCUGCAAAAGAAUUGAAUUGCAUCAUGGAUAAAUUCUAUAUUCAUUUUUGAAAUUUGCAUGUUUUCGGAAGAUUGAAAUCUUUAUUGUGAUGAUACCCAUAUAACACUACAUUAUAAGUACAUAUAAUACCUCAUAAUAGUCAUCCUUCCUCUUCCUAGACAUGAAGCAGAAUACCAGUGGAACCUGCUUCAUGUGCUGGCCACUUCUGAUGAAGGCAUGGAUGCUGAGAAUCUGGGUCCAUGGCUUCUUCACUACAUGGAAGGUCGAACCCAUAUACCAUGUUUUUGCCUUGGACAGGAGUUCGAGCUGGUUUCGGAGUAGACUAGUGUAUUCCGGGUUCUGCAGGGUGGUUGUGCAACACAUGUCCUUUUUUGGUAAUCCAUUCCCCUCUGGAUCACCGUUGCAGCGCAUAGAUGGUUUUUUACUCUCUUACAGCACCUCCAGUAACAGAAAUCACC